rnacentral:lncRNA from 1 species
AGCAGCGUUCAGGGCUCGGUUCUACAUGGAGCCAGAGACGUCAGACAGUGGUUCGAUGGCUAGCGGGAGCAUGGCACGAGGAGGUGGUAUGGGUGGUAGAAACACACGUGGUGGGCCACACGUGAACGCUGCAGUGAGACCACUCCCACCUCUGAAAGAUAAUGUGAAGCGCGUGAUGUUCUACUGCUGAUUCGAUUCAGCUCUAUCUAUCUCUCUCUUUUAUUUAAUCUCGUAUGACUGUAUGAGCUAUUAAGACUCUUGUCGCCAAAUAAAUUGUUUGCUUUUGCGACUCUUAUGUCUCUACUGAACUCGUGUGGUGUGAACUUAUUGAAGCUGACUUAAGUUUGCGAGUGUUUGGAUAUAUUAUGUUUUGCCACUCUUGCUCUCAAGUGUGAGGUGCUUGCUUUCUGUUUUUUAGUUCAUUUUCUUACGAUUAUUGUCUCAUAAUUCUAGGAGAUGAUACUAAACCGAGUCCAGCACAUAAUGUUUUUAUUUAUUUAUUUGCAGAGGUAAAUAUUAAUUAAAAAUUAUUAAUUUUUGAUUUAUAUCAAUUUUUAUUGAAAUUUUGGACGGAGCAAUACAUUCUUCUAGGAAAAAACUACACAUAAUUUUGAUUUUUAAUUGAGAAUUCGGCCAAAAAAAACACGAACUUUUCACGAAUUGCCAAAGAAACCUGUACUCGAGCCUGAUCAAAAAAAUCAUUUACUUUUGUUGACUUUUUUGGUUUAUUAAUAAACUCAAGACAGUGUUAACUAGACGUUAAAUGUUGGGGUUAAGUGAAACGACGUCGUUUCAUCUCAUUUGAAAACGACUGAUUUGAAAAAAUAAUCAUAUAAACCCCUGGACUCGAACUCGGGUUGAUUGGUUCAAAUGACAAGGUCUUUUACCACUAAGCUAGUGAAACUUUCAAUGUACUUACUAACAUGUUUACUUUUAUUUGGUACUGACUGAAUAUAAAAAUAUUCUCUAAAAACUUAAAAAGAUUUUCAAAAUUCCAAAAAAUUGAAAAAUAAGAGGGCUCGGUUCUACAUGGAGCCAGAGACGUCAGACAGUGGUUCGAUGGCUAGCGGGAGCAUGGCACGGGGAGGUGGUAUGGGUGGUAGAAACACACGUGGUGGGCCACACGUGAACGCUGCAGUGAGACCACUCCCACCUCUGAAAGAUAAUGUGAAGCGCGUGAUGUUCUACUGCUGAUUCGAUUCAGCUCUAUCUAUCUCUCUCUUUUAUUUAAACUCGUAUGACUGUAUGAGCUAUUAAGACUCUUGUCGCCA